GGGGACGUACCGGUUUCGACAGGGGCCACAAAGUUGCGCACGCGUGCCGCGGAGCCUUUGGCCGCGUAAAAAAAGGCAAACCCUCAAGUGCCAACGACAACGUUGAACUUGCUCUCGCCGCGUAAGACUUAAAACACCUUACUAGCGACGGAUGUGAUGGCUGUGCCCGCCGGGCCGCACAUUCGUAUACAGGUGGGCUGGCUCUGCGCGCAUGUCUCUGUAGCGCGGGGCGAGACAAGAAAGGCCGCGGCGGAUGGAUCCUGUUGCCUGGGAGCCGCUGUCGCGUACAAAUUAGGCAACUACGCACGUAGACUGUUCAAUGGCGGGUUUCUGGACGCGGGUUCGACUCCCGCCGUCUCCACCA
rnacentral:tmRNA from 1 species